GAUGAACGCUGGCGGCGUGCCUAAUACAUGCAAGUCGAGCGAACAGACGAGGAGCUUGCUCCUCUGACGUUAGCGGCGGACGGGUGAGUAACACGUGGAUAACCUACCUAUAAGACUGGGAUAACUUCGGGAAACCGGAGCUAAUACCGGAUAAUAUAUUGAACCGCAUGGUUCAAUAGUGAAAGACGGUUUUGCCGUCACUUAUAGAUGGAUCCGCGCCGCAUUAGCUAGUUGGUAAGGUAACGGCUUACCAAGGCAACGAUGCGUAGCCGACCUGAGAGGGUGAUCGGCCACACUGGAACAGAGACACGGGCCAGACUCCUACGGGAGGCAGCAGUAGGGAAUCUUCCGCAAUGGGCGAAAGCCUGACGGAGAAACGCCGCGUGAGUGAUGAAGGGCUUCGGAUCGUAAAACUCUGUUAUUAGGGAAGAACAAAUGUGUAAGUAACUAUGCACGUCUUGACGGUACCUAAUCAGAAAGCCACGGCUAACUACGU
rnacentral:rRNA from 1 species